rnacentral:rRNA from 1 species
UAGUCUGCAACUCGACUACAUGAAGCUGGAAUCGCUAGUAAUCGCGAAUCAGAAUGUCGCGGUGAAUACGUUCCCGGGUCUUGUACACACCGCCCGUCACACCAUGGGAGUCAGUAACGCCCGAAGCCGGUGACCCAACCAAUUCAGGAGGGAGCCGUCGAAGGUGGGACCGAUAACUGGGGUGAAGUCGUAACAAGGUAUC